CAGCCCUUAUUUUAAGAGUUUCUAAAAUCCCCUAUGGGAAAAAUGAAUGGUGGAAAAACAAUUGGAACCAUUUCGUUGCCAGCAGCAACACAAAUGAGGAAAAAGUCAGUAUUUGGUAAAAGUCUUUAUUUCAACACCCUGCGGAAGGACCGCAGUUGUACAGGACAAACAUACAGCUUCUGCUCGACAUGGGUUAGCAUCUCCUCCAGGAGCUGGCUGGAGGCCCUGUCCGAGGGCGAGGGGGGGCGCUGGGCCCCAGGGGAGCCAGGAGGAGGGGCCACUGAGCUAUCUUCACUCCCGUGGAUGAUCUGGUGAGCCGCCUGGAGGUGCCUGCGCUGGCUCUGACGCACUGGAGGAAGGAAGGGGAGGGAGAAAGAGAGAAAGGUGGAAAAUGAGAGAGAGAGAAAGGUGGAUGAAGAGAUAGAGAGAAAGACAGAAGAGACUAAAGUAUUAUUAUGUAAUUAUUAUUGUGUUACUACACUAUCAUGUAUUAUCAGCAUGUGAUGGUACUGGGUGCUUUGGGAAUAAACGGCCUACCUCUGUC